rnacentral:rRNA from 1 species
UACGUAGGGUGCAAGCGUUUAAUCGGAAUUACUGGGCGUAAAGCGUGCGCAGGCGGUUUUGUAAGUUUGUCGUGAAAGCCCCGGGCUCAACCUGGGAAUUGCGAUGAAGACUGCAAGGCUUGAAUCUGGCAGAGGGGGGUAGAAUUCCACGUGUAGCAGUGAAAUGCGUAGAGAUGUGGAGGAACACCGAUGGCGAAGGCAACCCCCUGGGUCAAGAUUGACGCUCAUGCACGAAAGCGUGGGGAGCAAACAGG